CUGGGUGAACUGUGGCCGUUACGGAGUCCCAAGCUCGAGAUCUUCUGACGUUCCUCCUCUGGUAUGAUGUCGGACACGAUGCUGUACCUGCCAGAGGGACGAGGAUGACAGUAUUAGUUAAAGUGUCUUUGGCUUCCAACCGGCCAGCGGCGUCUCAUCUGUGGAGUCUAGCUCUCGGUGCAAGAGGCUGACCGCCUGUAAUGAGCGGCGGAGCGGCGCAGUCUGAAAGCUGAGAGCUGAUCCUACCCUGGUUUCACCUCUGUUCAUCACGAGCCAACCCACAGAGCAGCAGUCGGCCGUGCACAGAGUUAGUCCUACGCUACCAGCACAUCCCAGACUACCUCCAUCUUGGCUCCAUUUCAGAAUUCCUUUACAUAUUGUCCUAUUUUAUUCUUUGCAAAACACUUUAUGUCCUAGUUUUUGCGGCGGAUCAGCUGGUUUUACAUGCUGAUCCUGUAGUUUUGCAAUAAAUGUCGCUGCAAGUGACCAAGUGUUAAAAGUUAAGUUUAGCAUUUACAUUUAUUUGCAAGGAAAGUUUUGAUUUUCUUAUGAGCUUUGGACUUGAAUGAUGUCUGUCUGACCUACUUCAGCUGUUAUCAACGUACGAUUAGUCAUUUUGUUGGAGGUAAAAUGCUUUGAUUGACAAUAGUUUCCAGAAAAGACAAUUAAAGCUGCUUCAUGUAAGACAAGAUCCACCAAUUUGUGCCUCAUAUAAAGGAAAAAACAAAGCACACAUUUAUAUUUUACAUUAAAAGUUUCUCAGCGA